rnacentral:rRNA from 1 species
GAACGCUGGCGGCGUGCCUAAUACAUGCAAGUCGAGCGGACAGAAGGGAGCUUGCUCCCGGAUGUUAGCGGCGGACGGGUGAGUAACACGUGGGUAACCUGCCUGUAAGACUGGGAUAACUCCGGGAAACCGGAGCUAAUACCGGAUAGUUCCUUGAACCGCAUGGUUCAAGGAUGAAAGACGGUUUCGGCUGUCACUUACAGAUGGACCCGCGGCGCAUUAGCUAGUUGGUGAGGUAACGGCUCACCAAGGCGACGAUGCGUAGCCGACCUGAGAGGGUGAUCGGCCACACUGGGACUGAGACACGGCCCAGACUCCUACGGGAGGCAGCAGUAGGGAAUCUUCCGCAAUGGACGAAAGUCUGACGGAGCAACGCCGCGUGAGUGAUGAAGGUUUUCGGAUCGUAAAGCUCUGUUGUUAGGGAAGAACAAGUGCAAGAGUAACUGCUUGCACCUUGACGGUACCUAACCAGAAAGCCACGGCUAACUACGUGCCAGCAGCCGCGGUAAUACGUAGGUGGCAAGCGUUGUCCGGAAUUAUUGGGCGUAAAGGGCUCGCAGGCCGUUUCUUAAGUCUGAUGUGAAAGCCCCCGGCUCAACCGGGGAGGGUCAUUGGAAACUGGGAAACUUGAGUGCAGAAGAGGAGAGUGGAAUUCCACGUGUAGCGGUGAAAUGCGUAGAGAUGUGGAGGAACACCAGUGGCGAAGGCGACUCUCUGGUCU